rnacentral:rRNA from 1 species
UACGUAGGGUGCGAGCGUUAAUCGGAUUUACUGGGCGUAAAGCGUGCGCAGGCGGAUUGUUAAGCGAGAUGUGAAAGCCCUGGGCUCAACCUGGGAACUGCAGUGGAAACUGGAUGACUAGAGUGUGGUAGAGGGUAGCGGAAUUCCCGGUGUAGCAGUGAAAUGCGUAGAGAUCAGGAGGAACACCGAUGGCGAAGGCAGCCCCCCGGGCCUGUACUGACGCUCAUGCACGAAAGCGUGGGGAGCAAACAGG